rnacentral:lncRNA from 1 species
CUUACUAUGGCUCAUCUAGUGGUUCUUGCUCCUUCAGAAAGUACCAGGGCCGCACUCACGCUCCAGUGAUAAGGAAGCUACCAUCAAAGUGCCUCAGUUCCUUACAACCAGAUUGAAAACUAGGAAGGAUUAUCAGGAAACAUGAAAGGAAAGCCAUAUGGAAGAUUAAAAGAGAAAAUAUGAGAUGAACCAUCAUGUGCUUCUGGCUGGAGGAAUCUCAUGAUCCCCAGAGAACAGAGCUCUCUUCUUGCUGAGAAAGUUUCUUUCCUUACUAUUACCACCGUAGUCACUAAACAUGGCACAAGACCUAUCCAUCUAUCAGCCUGAACCACAGAUCAUUCACCAAGAAGAUGGAGCACUUGCCUCAUAGAUGCCGAUGAGUCACUAACGAGAGGCAGAAGCUGAAGCUGCACGUGCAUAAAAUCAGAAGUUAGUAUCUAUACAUGAGAGAAAACAUGUUGUGAUUGUCUUCCUAAUCCUCAAUUGCCUCAUUCAUCUUUUCCAAUUUAUUCCAUCUUUCUAUACGUUUCAUUUUUGAUUACCUAAUAAAAUUCCAUUAAAUUUAUAA